rnacentral:lncRNA from 1 species
UGAUAUGUGCUUAUAUGAUCAAACCCAAACACCCCCAUAACUAAACUAAAUGGAUCUAUGGCUUUUAUUGAUCAGUUAGUUUGUCCAAAUUGCUUGAAGAUGCCAACAUGUAAUAUGAGUGUUGAGAAACAUAUACUUUGGAAUUAAAGAACAACUAACAUUAACAAAAUCUUGUCUCCUUCUCAUGCUGGAUUUUGGAUUCAUCCACUUCCAUCAAGAUGUCCAUUAGAGGCAAUGUGAGCCUGGUAUUGCUCAUGAUAUGCAUACGGUGAUUUCCCUUGACGCUCGAAAUGUUUAGCCAUUAUAGACCAUUCAAUCGGGCCCCAUUCUUCCACUUCAAAACAAUUCCCCAGUGCAGAUUUAU